rnacentral:rRNA from 1 species
GAUGAACGCUGGCGGCGUGCCUAAUACAUGCAAGUCGAGCGAACGGACGAGAAGCUUGCUUCUCUGAUGUUAGCGGCGGACGGGUGAGUAACACGUGGAUAACCUACCUAUAGGACUGGGAUAACUUCGGGAAACCGGAGCUAAUACCGGAUAAUAUUUUGAACCGCAUGGUUCAAAAGUGAAAGACGGUCUUGCUGUCACUUAUAGAUGGAUCCGCGCUGCAUUAGCUAGUUGGUAAGGUAACGGCUUACCAAGGCAACGAUGCAUAGCCGACCUGAGAGGGUGAGCGGCCACACUGGAACUGAGACACGGUCCAGACUCCUACGGGAGGCAGCAGUAGGGAAUCUUCCGCAAUGGGCGAAAGCCUGACGGAGCAACGCCGCGUGAGUGAUGAAGGUCUUCGGAUCGUAAAACUCUGUUAUUAGGGAAGAACAUAUGUGUAAGUAACUGUGCACAUCUUGACGGUACCUAAUCAGAAAGCCACGGCUAACUACGUG